rnacentral:SRP_RNA from 1 species
GCUGGGCAUGGUGGUGCAUGCCUGUAAUCCCAGCUAUUAGGAGGCUGAGGCAGGAGAAUCGCUUGAACUCGGGAGGCAGAGGUUGCAGUGAGCUGAGAUUGCACCACUGCACUCCAGCCUAAGUGAUAUAGCAAGACUCUGUCUCAA